rnacentral:rRNA from 1 species
CCUACGGGGUGCAGCAGUAGGGAAUAUUGCUCAAUGGGGGAAACCCUGAAGCAGCAACGCCGCGUGGAGGAUGAAGGUUUUAGGAUUGUAAACUCCUUUUGUGAGAGAAGAUAAUGACGGUAUCUCACGAAUAAGCACCGGCUAACUCCGUGCCAGCAGCCGCGGUAAUACGGAGGGUGCAAGCGUUACUCGGAAUCACUGGGCGUAAAGAGUGCGCAGGCGGGCUUGUAAGUCAGAUGUGAAAUCCUGUAGCUUAACUACAGAACUGCAUUUGAAACUAUGAGUCUAGAGGGUGGGAGGGGGAGGUGGAAUUCUGGGGGGAGGGGGAGAAGCGGUAGGUAAGAAGAGGAA